GUGUCAGCCGCCGCGGUAAUACGUAGGGUGCAAGCGUUAAUCGGAAUUACUGGGCGUAAAGCGUGCGCAGGCGGUUUGGCAAGAAAGGUGUGAAAUCCCAGGGCUUAACCUUGGAACUGCACUUUUAACUGUUAGGCUAGAGUACGUCAGAGGGGGGUAGAAUUCCACGUGUAGCAGUGAAAUGCGUAGAUAUGUGGAGGAAUACCGAUGGCGAAGGCAGCCCCCUGGGAUAGUACUGACGCUCAUGCGCGAAAGCGUGGGUAGCAAACAGGAUUAGAUACCCUGGUAGUUCACGUUUUAAACGAUGUCAACUAGCUGUUGGGGUUUAUUAACCUUAGUAGCGCAGCUAACGCGUGAAGUUGACCGCCUGGGGAGUACGGUCGCAAGAUUAAA
rnacentral:rRNA from 1 species